rnacentral:rRNA from 1 species
UACCCGCAGCACAAGUGGUGGUCAUUAUUAUUGGGCCUAAAGCGUCCGUAGCUGGCUUGUUAGAUGCCUGGGUAAAUCGAUGCGCUCAACGUAUCGAAUUCCGGGUAGACCGGCAAGCUCGAGACCGGGAGAGGUGUAGGCUACUCGAGGGGUAGGGGUAAAAUCCUAUAAUCCUUCGGGGAGGACCAGUGGCGAAGGCGCUACACUAGAACGGCUCUGACAGUGAGGGACGAAGCCCUGGGGCGCAAACCGG